GUAUCAAUAUGUGUCUUUGUAUCAUUUGUGUCUCUAUCAAUGUGUGUCUCUGUAUCAAUGUGUCUUUGUAUCAAUAUGUGUCUUUGUAUCAAUAUGUGCCUCUGUAUCAGUAUGUGUCUUUGUAUCAACAUAUGUGUUUCUCUCUCUCUUUUUUACGCGCUCUCUUUCUCUCAUUCUCUUUCAUGCUCUCUUUCUCUCUCUCACCCUCUCUCACCCUCUCUCUGUCUCUCUAUCUCUCAAUCUCUCACUCUUGAUUUAAUUAUUGUUUACCAUUGCUAUAAUAAUUCAUUUCCUCUUCGCCAAAAAUAAUUUAUUUGGAGAAUGUCAUUGUUACUCCCCGUUGUAAUGUUUUUACCUAUUUGUAAGCGUAAAAAAAAUCUAUCUAAAUGAACCGCUACAAGCAUGCAACCAUAGCAACGCAUAAAAACAUGCCAAGGGAGAGAACAAAAUCUCAAUAAAAUUUGCAGAAACCUGUCCAAAUACAUUUUA